UACGUAGGGUGCGAGCGUUAAUCGGAAUUACUGGGCGUAAAGCGUGCGCAGGCGGUUUCGCAAGUCAGAUGUGAAAGCCCCGGGCUUAACCUGGGAACUGCAUUUGAAACUACGAGGCUAGAGUGUGUCAGAGGGGGGUAGAAUUCCACGUGUAGCAGUGAAAUGCGUAGAGAUGUGGAGGAAUACCGAUGGCGAAGGCAGCCCCCUGGGAUAACACUGACGCUCAUGCACGAAAGCGUGGGGAGCAAACAGG
rnacentral:rRNA from 1 species